rnacentral:tRNA from 1 species
GCUGAUAGGGCUGCUGAGCAGGUUACUGUGAUAUAGUAGUUGUAUGUUUUUAACGUCGUCAGUA